AUAAAUGUCUACUUACCACAGGUAAGAACCAGCAUCACACCAAAGUAAUGAUACCACCAAAGAUCAAGUUGGAGAACAAUGAUUUUAUUGAGAUUUACUUACAGGAGUAUCAAUAAGGGAUUACUUACAGGAAUAAGGGUGACUCAAAGUCAGUUGCAUCACCAAAAAGUACACUGAGAAGGGGUGACCACUCAAAAAACUUCAACCCUGUAGCUGCUCCUCACACAACUUUCAGGCCGUCAUAAUAGUUAAAAAAUUUAAGUACUUCAUUAUCUUAUGAUUUCUUUUAUAUACUUAUUCAUAUGAAUAAAGUUAGAGCAGAAAAGAGAGAGAUUAUAAUACAUAGAAAAUGAAAUCCAGAGAAUGAUCUGAGGAUUCUUUGAAAACAUACAAUAAACUGGAAAAUCGUGAAGAAUUUCAAGACAUAUAUGAAAUAUCAAAAUUAGGCCAAAGUUGGAGGUUUCACAAGCCUCCCCCUCCACAUAUCAUAGGCUAUUGCGAUUGUUCUUGGUUACCACACAGAACUUGACAGUAAGACCUUAUUACUGAAAACACCACACAUCAAGUCAUAGAGCAAUUAGGAAAUCAUAGCUUAUACUGCCCUAGAAGCUUCAUCCUUCUGGCUAGCUGUCAUAGUGCUAGAUGAUGCUGUGCAUGCUACCAGGGGAGAAGACCUAACAUCAAGUUCACCCGACUGAGAAGCCUCUGAGCUACAAUUACAGAUCAGUCUGACAAGACAUGGCCAUGAGCAUGGCAUGGAUGUUAGAAUAACCAACCACUUUUUGACUGGAUUUCAGGCCCAUUUCACACAAUCCACAAGAUAAAACGCAAGUCUGGCAGCAUUAAUGUGGAGAACUUUCUACUAAUCUACUAUUAUUCUGUUAAAGGGUAUGUAUCUUUACCCAUUGAAAAUUUAUCUUCGUCACAGAAGAUGGGCUUUGUUGUCUUUGACGUCGAUGGCAAUUAAGAGCCUCACAAUGGGUCAACAUGCAGAGAGUAAGAGAUUUUGAAGGGCUCAGCUCUAAAUGGAGCAUCUACCUACAAUACAUUUCUUCUCUCAAAGGACCAGGGAUUAUUAUGGAUUAGGAAGCCAAAGGACUGCGAGAGCCAGAAAGUGGAUUAUUACAGUCAAACAGUGUGUUCUCGAUACAACAGGACAGUUGCACAUACUAACUGACAACAGCUGUGACGGCAUACACAAGUUCAAGCCAGACAACUGUCCCAGCACGGAAGUGAGAGGUGUGCAGAAAGGCCCACUCCUGAGUAGUUAUUGGCAAUUGAUGACUGCUGAGUAAAAGAGAGGUGGGUUUGUUCAGGGAGAGGCUACUCAUGCCACAGAAGAUAGCACUGCGCCCAUGUAUAUACUGGAAGCACUAAGGAGACUGACUGUAGGUUAAAAAUAAAAGAACAGAUGAAAUUGAGAACUUGAGUGGUGGGAAGGAUGGAAGAAUUAGAGGGAAAGGAAUGGGAGUGUGUGGGCUCGAUCAAAAUGCAUUAUGUACAUGUAUAAAAUUCUCAAUCAAUGAUAAAACAAAAUAAACAGAUGGAAAAACAAGUCAAGGGAAUGUGAACAAUGUAAAAGGGCAACAACAUCCUUAAGCUAGAAAUGAAUUGUCUCCACAAGGAAAGCACAGGACUUGACAAAUUCUCCAAUGAAUUCUACCAAGCUUCCCAAACGAUUUCACUAAAUAUAAAGGGAAGAAACACUAAGUAAGUUAUUCUUAAAAGGUAGUAGGAUUACCAUGAUGCCAAAACCAUGAAGGGCUCAACAACAAAGAAAACUGUAACACAAUUUCCUGAAUGAAAAUAGAAAAAAAAUUUCAAGAUUAUAUUCUCAAACCAAGUCAACAUAAUAAAAACAUCACCAACUAUAAUGGGGUGAAUUCUUUGCAUCUAAGCAUGUUUCCACAAAUAUCAAUUAGCAAAUGUAGAGAAUAUAGAUAUUCAAGGAUUGAGAGCCUCAAUACACAGAGAAAACAUCAAUGCUCUAUGUUCCCUGAUGAAAAUAUCCUGAAAUUAGGAAGACACCUCACUGUAAGAGAUGUUACACAUGACAAAACUAGAGCCAAGAUUAUACUGAACAGGAAAACUAAAAGCAUCUCUUCAACUAUCAGAAGUUACACCAGGUGUCUACCUUCUCUACAUUGCCAUAGACAUCUCUUGCAUUCUUAGCUGGAAAAUGUAGGAAGAGAAUGGAGAUAGAACUCUAUGGCUUCAGUUCAGUGGUACACCACUUGCCUACCAAACAUAAGCUCCUUGGUUCAACCCUGAGCACUGAGGAAAGAAAACAGAAGUCAAAUGAAGCCAAAUCUCUAUUUAUGAACAAUAUGACAAUCUUAUUAAACUUAUUACUACAUGUGUAUAAGUGUUUUGCCUGCAUGUCUGUCCAUGCACCAUGUGCAUGUCUGGUGCCCAGAGAUCAGAAGAGGGUGUUAGAUUCCUUGGAACUGGAGUUACAGUUGUGAAAUGCCAUAUAGGUGCUGGGAAUCAAGCCUCAGUCCUCUAGGAGAGGAGCCAGUGCUCUUGACUGCUCCUCUGUUCAUAUUCUUAAAAGACCCAAAGUGCCACACUAAGACUCUUACGUCCAAUUAUUACUUCAAAGUAGUACAAUAAAGUCAGUAUAGAAAAACCAGUAUCCAUUUAUAUGACAAUGAAAAUGGUGAUAAAAUAAUUUAAAAAAAAAAUCAUCUUCCAAAAGUCUAAGAAACAAGUAACAAGACAAAAAGUCAAAUUCACCUACAAAAGUCAAGCUGACUACAUAAUGACAAUUUAAAACACUGAGAAAUUGAAGGCUCUAGAAAAUGGAAAACAUUCCUAUGCUCCCACAUCACCACCAUAAUAUGAAAAGGUGUAAAGUGUUCAGACCCAACACACAUGCUCCCUCAAAAUUCCAAUGUCAUUAUUUCCAGAAAUAGAAAACACAAUCCUGUAACUGAAUGAAAACCAAAAUAUUCCAUAUAGUUAAAGCAAUGCUGAGCAAAAGAGCAAUACUAGCUAAUACGACACCGAUUUAAAUUAUGCUCUAAACCAGAGUGAAAUAGUAUAACUUAAAAACAGACACACUGAGCAAUGGACAGGUAUAGUACCAGAAUAACCAUGUCGUCACACCUUCUAAUUUCAGCAAAGGUAUCCAAAUCAUGCACAGGAUAAUAAAUGGCCUCAAGAGGAAAUCAACACUGUACAUACAAGAAGAUCCCUAAAUUCCUCUAUCAUUCUGUAUAAAAGCAACACACACUAUACCAAAGACCUUAACGUAAGGCCUACAAAACUUGAAACUCAGAGGAAAAUCUACAGAAUACAUGAAGCUAUAGGUGUGGACAGUGGCAUUCUUUUUUUAAAACUUUCUUUUAGUAUAGAAUAGAGCUUAUUCAGGGCAUGGGGAGAGGAGUUAAGAGGGUAGUUGGGGUAGAGAAAGGCAGAGAGAGAGAGGAGUAGAGAAGAG
ensembl:lncRNA